rnacentral:rRNA from 1 species
UACGGGGGGGGGCAAGCGUUGUUCGGAAUUACUGGGCGUAAAGGGCUCGUAGGUGGCCAACUAAGUCAGACGUGAAAUCCCUCGGCUUAACCGGGGAACUGCGUCUGAUACUGGAUGGCUUGAGUUCGGGAGAGGGAUGCGGAAUUCCAGGUGUAGCGGUGAAAUGCGUAGAUAUCUGGAGGAACACCGGUGGCGAAGGCGGCAUCCUGGACCG